rnacentral:rRNA from 1 species
UGGGGAAUUUUGGACAAUGGGCGCAAGCCUGAUCCAGCCAUGCCGCGUGCGGGAAGAAGGCCUUCGGGUUGUAAACCGCUUUUGUCAGGGAAGAAAUCUUCUGAGUUAAUACCUCGGGAGGAUGACGGUACCUGAAGAAUAAGCACCGGCUAACUACGUGCCAGCAGCCGCGGUAAUACGUAGGGUGCAAGCGUUAAUCGGAAUUACUGGGCGUAAAGCGUGCGCAGGCGGUUUUGUAAGACAGAGGUGAAAUCCCCGGGCUCAACCUGGGAACUGCCUUUGUGACUGCAGGGCUUGAGUGCGGCAGAGGGGGAUGGAAUUCCGCGUGUAGCAGUGAAAUGCGUAGAUAUGCGGAGGAACACCGAUGGCGAAGGCAAUCCCCUGGGCCUGCACUGACGCUCAUGCACGAAAGCGUGGGGAGCAAACAGGAUUAGAUACCCUGGUAGUCCACGCCCUAAACGAUGUCAACUGGUUGUUGGGAAGGUUCCUUCUCAGUAACGUAGCUAACGCGUGAAGUUGACCGCCUGGGGAGUACGGCCGCAAGGUUG